CGUGAGCAAGACAAGUCUAACUAUUGAUGAAGACUACAGUCGAAGAGCUUGACCAUACCACAAUUUCGCCUGUGCCCAAAAUGGACCAGCAGAUCGCCUAUCCAGAGUUCCGGCUGUUCUGAGUGCCUCGUCCCUGACGCAGUUCUGCAUCGGUGGCCUGCGAAUCAUGAUCCGGCGCUUGGAGACGAGGAUGAUGCGGAACUCCCGUUGCUGUGCCAUUUUAUUACAGUCCAGACGUUACACUCCCUACAGGGUGAUUAUGCAACACAUGGGACAGCCAUGAUUGAAACGCGGCUCUUCACUCCACGCCAGAGCGA
rnacentral:misc_RNA from 1 species